GGGGUCAGACAGCCGCUCCGCUGCCGUUGGCAACGGGGAGGAAAGUCCGGGCUCCACAGGGCAGGGUGCCAGGUAACACCUGGGGGCGCGGCUGGCGACGGCCGCGUCACGGAAAGUGCCGCAGAAAAUAUACCGCCCAGCACCUAAUUUCUCGGUGCCGAGCGGCUCAUUCCGGAAUCCCGGGAACGCGGGUUUUUCGAUUGAGGCGUCUUCGCAUCGAAAAAUUAGGUGCUGGGUAAGGGUGAAAAGGUGCGGUAAGAGCGCACCGCGCUUGCGGUAACGCAAGUGGCAGGGCAAACCCCACCCGGAGCAAGACCAAAUAGGGAUCCAUGGGCGUGGCCCGCGCCGGAUCCGGGUAGGUCGCUUGAGGCCUGUGGCGACACAGGUCCCAGAUGAAUGGCUGUCCACGACAGAACCCGGCUUAUCGACCGCUUCA
rnacentral:RNase_P_RNA from 1 species